CGUUUCUGAUAUUUUUUUAUUUGGGCUCGACAUAUGCUCUAAGUGUUAUUUGUUACGGGCCUGUCUUGAAAUCAACUGAAGCCAUAUAUAGAGUCAAGAGUUAAAUAAGUAAACUCGGCCCCUAACCAUCGUUAAAGUUCUUCAUCUCUUUAUCUCACCGGCGACCAAAACCUACAAACGUUACGGAAUCAGUCUGAAUUGAAGCGUCAUCUUUAAAGUACUCUCAUUAACAAUAUCUCCCCACCCCUACCACGAUUUAUCAUUGAAUGCAUCUCCAAUGACUUCCUCCCUCCCGAUCUUCAACUAUAAAAAGGUAUGACUAUCCCAUGAAAUUCAUCAGUUUAUUGUGAUCACAUACGUCCUUCCAUGUUUUCCUAUUCUACUCAUCCGGAAAGAACUUUGGAGUGGAGAUUUGAUAAGGGAAUUGAGUGGCAACACGACAGAGAGUCAAGAUACAGAUAUUAACUAAAGUGAAUGUGAUUUUUAUGUUCAUACUUUUUUGAAUUUAGUUUAAGUUCGCUUAAUGUUUUCUUCUGAUUUAGAUUCUUAGGCUGAAAAAAUGGAUCUGAGAGCGAGUGGAUCCACAUGGAGAUCAAAAUCCAAAUCAGAAGCCAAGGACUCUUGCGAACAAAGAUAAGCAGAGAUGCGAGAGACGUGACCAACAGCUUCUCCAACAAAAGUCAAAGAGAUCAGAUAAUUACGCAGAAGAGGACAAAUACUAGAGAAGAUAUGUGGAAAAAUAUCAAGGAAAUCAGAAUUAAAAAAAACGAAACUAAAGGCUGGCCAGUAGAGGAGAUCUAUGCACUAUCUAAACAGGUUAGAACAAAGUAAAACAGCAAGGUUAGAGUUUUCACCAAGAGCAUCUGAAAAAUGCAGAGGUAGAGCUAUUGCAGACGGAGAGCUCGAACUUUUGAUGGAAGCAGCAGAUGGAGGAAAGAGAACGGAAAGCUUUGCAGUAGUGAAAUAAUUGAUCGAUCCUCAAAAUGAUUUUAGAGAUGCAGUGGUUGAGAUGAUCAUGGAGAAUGGUGUCAACCACCCAGAAGAACUCAAACAGGUUCACAGUUGUUAUAUCAGUCAAAGAAAAACAAGAUCCAGCAAAAGUUUAUUAUUAUCAAAAGAACAUUUUAGGAUAAUCAUCAGCUUACGCUCAAAUCAUGGAUAUUGGUUAAAGUAGUGUAAAGUUUAUAUGAUCUUUUCUAACAUCAGUAAAAUUAAUUAAAUAACUUGAUUGUAUGA